rnacentral:rRNA from 1 species
UGGGGAAUAUUGGACAAUGGGGGCAACCCUGAUCCAGCAAUACCGCGUGUGUGAAGAAGGCCUGAGGGUUGUAAAGCACUUUCAGUGGGGAGGAGGGUAUUUAGGUUAAGAGCUAGAAUACUGGACGUUACCCACAGAAGAAGCACCGGCUAACUCCGUGCC